AGUGAACGCUGGCGGCAGGCCUAACACAUGCAAGUCGAGCGGCAGCGGGUCCUUCGGGAUGCCGGCGAGCGGCGGACGGGUGAGGAACACAUGGGAAUCUGCCCAGUCGUGGGGGAUAACGUAGGGAAACUUACGCCAAUACCGCAUACGACCUGAGGGUGAAAGCGGCGGACCGCAAGGCGUCCCGCGAUUGGAUGAGCCCAUGUCGGGUUAGCUAGUUGGCGGGGUAAAGGCCCACCAAGGCGACGAUCCGUAGCUGGUCUGAGAGGAUGAUCAGCCACACUGGAACUGAGACGCGGUCCAGACUCCCACGGGAGGCAGCAGUGGGGAAUAUUGGACAAUGGGCGCAAGCCUGAUCCAGCCAUGCCGCGUGAGUGAAGAAGGCCUUCGGGUUGUAAAGCUCUUUUGUCCGGAAAGAAAAGUCUUCGGUUAAUACCCGGGGAUUCUGACGGUACCGGAAGAAUAAGCACCGGCUAACUUCGUGCCAGCCGCCGCCGUAACAC
rnacentral:rRNA from 1 species